CCUACGGGGGGCAGCAGUGAGGAAUAUUGGUCAAUGGACGCAAGUCUGAACGAGCCAAGUAGCGUGCAGGAUGACGGCCCUCCGGGUUGUAAACUGCUUUUAGUUGGGAAUAAAAGGGGGCUCGUGAGCCCCGUAUUGUAUGUACUAUCAGAAAAAGGACCGGCUACUUCCGUGCCAGCAGCCGCGGUAAUACGGAAGGUCCGGGCGUUAUCCGGAUUUAUUGGGUUUAAAGGGAGCGUAGGCCGGCUUUUAAGGCAGCUGUGAAAGGCCGCGGCUUAACCGUGGAAUUGCAGUUGAAACUGGAGGGCGUGAGAGCAGGCAGGGAUGCCGGAAUUCAUGGUGUAGCGGUAAAAUGCUUAGAUAUCAGGAAGAACACCGAUCGCGAAGGCAGGUGUCCGGGGUGCAACUGACGCUGAGGCUCGAAAGUGCGGGGAUCAAACAGGAUUAGAUACCCUUGUAGUC
rnacentral:rRNA from 1 species